GUACAAUACAGUACCUCUUGAUGAGCACUAGUAGCUGCAGUCUGUGACUUGAAUGGAAGUAGGAACAUGCUUCUUUGGAGAAAAGUCUUACAGAAACAAGUUAAUGGAUACUGAUGGCUGACAGCAGCUGAAAGAACUUCCAUCUUAAGCUUUACUGGGGAAGAAAGAAAUCUGGUGUCAGGUAUUUAAAAGGCUGGAGGAUAUUCCUGCAGUCACACACCUCGCUAGUAAUUUGCCCUAUGGAGCUCAAGAUUUAUGAUCACCAUACUAGCAGAACUACUCUUCCUCCCAAGUAAAGCUUCAAGAAUGGAAUGAAGGGCAUACUGCGAAUAAGAUUCAUCUGAAACAUAGAUCCUCUGCAGCUUCCUCUGUUUUCUCAGUCAAAGACUGUGAAGGAGUAAGAUAAGUUGUAUUCAGCUUUGAGCCAGGAGCCAUAGCUCCUUGCUACCCCGAAAAGCUUCCAGGUAUGCUAGAAUUCAGACACCAAAACUCAGAACCUUAAU
rnacentral:lncRNA from 1 species